rnacentral:rRNA from 1 species
AGAGUUUGAUCCUGGCUCAGAACGAACGCUGGCGGCGUGCCUAACACAUGCAAGUCGAACGUGAUUAGAGAGCUUGCUCUUUAUGAAAGUGGCGCACGGGUGAGUAACGCGUAGAUAAUCUGCCUGGUGAUCCGGGAUAACACUUCGAAAGGGGUGCUAAUACCUGAUAAGCCCACGGAGUCUUUGGAUUCUGCGGGAAAAGGGGGGGACCUUCCGGCCUUCUGUCACCAGAUGAGUCUGCGUACCAUUAGCUAGUUGGUAGGGUAAAGGCCUACCAAGGCGACGAUGGUUAGCUGGUCUGAGAGGAUGAUCCGCCACACUGGAACUGAGACACGGUCCAGACUCCUACGGGAGGCAGCAGUGGGGAAUUUUGGACAAUGGGGGCAACCCUGAUCCAGCCAUGCCGCGUGAGUGAAGAAGGCCUUCGGGUUGUAAAGCUCUUUCAGCCGGGAAGAAAACGCAUGGGUUAAUACCCUGUGUGGAUGACGGUACCGGAAUAAGAAGCACCGGCUAACUACGUGCCAGCAGCCGCGGUAAUACGUAGGGUGCGAGCGUUAAUCGGAAUUACUGGGCGUAAAGCGUGCGCAGGCGGUUUUGUAAGACAGGCGUGAAAUCCCCGGGCUCAACCUGGGAACUGCGUUUGUGACUGCAAGGCUAGAGUAUGGCAGAGGGGGGUGGAAUUCCACGUGUAGCAGUGAAAUGCGUAGAGAUGUGGAGGAACACCGAUGGCGAAGGCAGCCCCCUGGGCCAAUACUGACGCUCAUGCACGAAAGCGUGGGUAGCAAACAGGAUUAGAUACCCUGGUAGUCC